rnacentral:rRNA from 1 species
UGCCAGCAGCCGCGGUAACACGGGGGGCGCAAGCGUUAUUCGGAAUUAUUGGGCGUAAAGCGCGUGUAGGCGGUUCGUUAAGUCUGAUGUGAAAGCCCGGGGCUCAACCCCGGAAGUGCAUUGGAAACUGUCAUGACUAGGGUCCGGUAGAGGUGAGUGGAAUUCUCGGUGUAGCGGUGAAAUGCACAGAUAUCGAGAGGAACCCCAGUUGCGAAGGCGGCUCACUGGGCCGGUACCGACGCUGAGGAGCGAAAGCGUGGGGAGCAAACAGGAUUAGAUA